rnacentral:rRNA from 1 species
CAUAGUACGCUUUGGAAACUGUUUAACUNGAGUGCAGAAGGGGAGAGUGGANUUCCAUGUGUAGCGGUGAAAUGCGUAGAUAUAUGGAGGAACACCGGUGGCGAAAGCGGCUNUCUGGUCUGUAACUGACGCUGAGGCUCGAAAGCGUGGGGAGCGAACAGGAUUAGAUACCCUGGUAGUNCACGCCGUAAACGAUGAGUGCUAGGUGUUAGGCCCUUUCCGGGGCUUAGUGCCGCAGCUAACGCAUUAAGCACUCCGCCUGGGGAGUACGACCGCAAGGUUGAAACUCAAAGGAAUUGACGGGGGCCCGCACAAGCGGUGGAGCAUGUGGUUUAAUUNGAAGCAACGCGAAGAACCUUACCAGGUCUUGACAUCCCGAUGCCCGCUCUAGAGAUAGAGUUUUACUUCGGUACAUCGGUGACAGGUGGUGCAUGGUUGUCGUUAGCUCGUGUCGUGAGAUGUUGNNNNNNNNNNNNNNNCGAGCGCAACCCUUAUUGUUAGUUGCCAUCAUUUAGUUGGGCACUCUAGCGAGACUGCCGGUAAUAAACCGGAGGAAGGUGGGGAUGACGUCAAAUCAUCAUGCCCCUUAUGACCUGGGCUACACACGUGCUACAAUGGCUGGUACAACGAGUCGCAAGUCGGUGACGGCAAGCUAAUCUCUUAAAGCCAGUCUCAGUUCGGAUUGUAGGCUGCAACUCGCCUACAUGAAGUCGGAAUCGCUAGUAAUCGCGGAUCAGCACGCUGCGGUGAAUACGUUCCCGGGCNU